rnacentral:rRNA from 1 species
AUGGAGAACCCGUACACGACCUUCCUCAAGAACUACCAUCAGCGCCGCUACUACUUCUCACCCACGCUCGUGCCGGCGCCGGUGGCGUCCACGACGGCGCCUCCUCCGCUCUCCGCCUACUCCUCCAGCCCCUUCUUCUCCCCGCCGCCUCCUCCUGCCCCGCCGCCGUCGCCCCCGCUCCGGGAAGCCCUGCCCCUCCUCUCUCUCGCCCCCGCCUCCCGCAGGUCGCGUGAGCGGCGGUUCGGCCCCGGCAAAGACGACUCCGACGACGGCGACGAGGAGGAUGGGGAGGAGGGGAAACAAGCGCCGGGCUCAGCCGCGAGCAGUAGCCUGCACCACAAUCAGAAGCUCGCGGGACGGCAGCUAUUCGCGGACCUGAACUCCAAGGCGACCGACGACCCGAUGGACUCGGAGGCGGGCGGCGCGGCAGGGGACGUGACGGUGGCGCUGCAUAUAGGCCUGCCGAGCGCUGGCACCGCCGCCGACCUUAUCUCCGGGAUCUCAGCCGCAGAUAGGGCGGCGAGGGAUGAGGAGGAGGAAGAGGACGACCGCGUUAGCAGGGAGCUGAGCGGCGGUGGCGCUGAGGGGGACGGGGAUGAAGACGGCGAGAACGAGGCGGCCGUGGCACCGGUGCUAGGGUUCUCUUCGACGCCGAUCGGGCGGCUGAACAAGGGGCAGUACUGGAUCCCGACGCCGACGCAGAUCCUCAUCGGUCCGACGCAGUUCUCCUGCCCCGUCUGCUUCAAGACCUUCAAUCGAUACAACAACAUGCAGAUGCACAUGUGGGGGCACGGGUCGCAGUACCGGAAGGGCCCGGAGUCGCUGCGCGGCAUCCAGCCGACGGCGAUGCUGCGGCUGCCGUGCUACUGCUGCGCGCCGGGGUGCCGGAACAACGUCGACCACCCGCGCGCGAAGCCGCUCAAGGACUUCCGCACCCUGCAGACGCACUACAAGCGCAAGCACGGCCUCAAGCCCUUCCUCUGCCGCCGCUGCGGCAAGGCCUUCGCCGUCAAGGGCGACUGGCGCACCCACGAGAAGAACUGCGGCAAGCUCUGGUACUGCCUCUGCGGCUCCGAGUUCAAGCACAAGCGCUCCCUCAAGGACCACGCCAGAGCCUUCGGCCAGGGCCACGGCACCCUCGGCGGCGCCGGACUCGACGACGACGACGACUGUGCCAUCUCUGACGUCGAGCACGACGGUGCCGCCGCCGCCGCCAGGUCGCUCUGA